AUCUCACUUGCCGUAGUUUUCCGUGCGGCGCUGACAAAAAACAAGUUUAUGGAUAGUGCUGCCAUCGUAUUUUAAUUUUGGACUUAAUACUAUUACGAAAGUGUGACGUCAUUCACGUCUUAUCCCGACCCCCAAACAGCUGAUGGGAGUUUGUUUACCUUAUUUGUAACAUGGCGUUAAUAAACUUGUCCGACCUUUUCGAGCAUUUUCUGAAGAAAUUACCGCGUUUGGUAAAUGCGAAUAUACCUAGUUAGUGGAAAUGUGCUUGCGGUGUAAUUUAAUGGACAUGAACAAAUAAUGCUUAUAAAUGAAUGAAGGAAGUAUGAAAAGAAAUGCAAGUGGCGGUAAGGGAAUAAUGCUUUGCAUAAGGUUAAUUUAAACGAAGAAGAAUUGUAGCAAGUGGCAAUUUAGUAACAGCAUAUCUGCGCUGUUUUGCUGUAUGCAAAUAACAAUAUUCGUAAAAUUGAGAGAAAAACUGAUACAGUAUCCUAAUGGAAAGAGCCAAUCUCAUCUAUUGAAACAACGCAGUUUCCGUGUUGGAAUUGUUUCCGAAAGUGCAAUGUGGUGCCACGAACAGAGGAUGAGAUUGAAAGCACUAAACAGAUGUCCUGCUUCUUUCUAUUCCUCUUCGCCAAAAAAAGGAAUUUAUACGGAAUAAAGUGGAUUCUGGCUUGGAUUUCUCUGGACUAAAGGAAAGGAAUUUAGAUGGAAUAAAAGUGGAUACAGUGGGAGUUAAACUCGCGAGUUAAAUGAUGAACGUAAAACUAAUUCUAACCAGAAUAUGACUUUGUGGGAAUGGUUUUUUAGCUAUGGCUUCGUGGGAGCAGAUACUAGUUAUUAAUGAUACAAGUUCGAUAUAAUCAUCAUAAUGAAACGCGUGUAACGUUAAAAUCACGAGGUGUAACACGUAGUUUUAGUUCCACAGGUUUCAUUAAUAAUGUUCAUAUUGUAUCAUUCAAAAUUUAAUCUACAACGGUCCAAACAGAUUUUAUUUGCAUUUUUCAUAAAACAAAAUUCAAAAUUAUCAAGUGCCCAUACUAGUGGAUGUCAUGGUAAUCACGUUUGUCAAUUUUGGCGUUCGCGAUGGAAAAUAGCAGUAAUUAUUAUUUGCGUGCUUGUUCCGACACGCCGGUAAUCGCGCGAUUCUCAAGAGGACCUUAUUUUUAUUUACAUGAAAAUGUUUCAAAUCGUUCAGAUAGAACCGCGCAGGAUUAACGCUGUGUCUGAAGAAAGCGUAAUGAAUUCAUAAGAUCUUAUGAAAUCCAAAGUGGACAUGGUCAUUGGUCAUAGAAUACUAGAUGAAUUAAGAAUGAGCAAAAAUUCAUAUUUGAUGGUAGUUCAAAUGUGAAAAGGUCACACCAUGCUUUUCAUUAAAUACAAGAACUUGUUCUUAUGAUGAAAAGAUCUUUGUCAUGUGGACUCCUAAAUUGCGAUAGAUGUAAGAAUGGAGAACAAUUCAAAUUUAAUAUGUUUGUAACCUUUUAGGUAAAUUAUUAAAACAGUUAGUAUUGUAUUGUUAUCUGUUAGUUUUCUUAGUAAGUGAUUUUAGUUUUUAAUUAAAUAUGUAUUGAUAUUUACACAUAUGGAAAAUGAAAUAAAACUAUUUGUACAU